UCGUCAGCUCGUGUCGUGAGAUGUUGGGUUAAGUCCCGCAACGAGCGCAACCCUUGUCAUUAGUUGCCAUCAUUAAGUUGGGCACUCUAAUGAGACUGCCGGUGACAAACCGGAGGAAGGUGGGGAUGACGUCAAGUCAUCAUGCCCCUUAUGACCUGGGCUACACACGUGUUACAAUGGGCAGUACAACGAGAAGCAAGCCUGCGAAGGCAAGCGAAUCUCUGAAAGCUGUUCUCAGUUCGGACUGCAGUCUGCAACUCGACUGCACGAAGCUGGAAUCGCUAGUAAUCGCGGAUCAGCACGCCGCGGUGAAUACGUUCCCGGGCCUUGUACACACCGCCCGUCACACCAUGGGAGUCUGCAAUGCCCAAAGCCGGUGGCCUAACCUUCGGGAAGGAGCCGUCUAAGGCAGGGUAGAUGACUGGGGUGAAGUCGUAACAAGGUAACCGUA
rnacentral:rRNA from 1 species